AGUGGGGGACAGCCCAGYGAAAGCUNGAUUAAUACCGCAUACGCCUACGGGGGAAAGCAGCAAUGCGCUAACWGAUGAGCCCGCGUUAGAUUAGCUGGUUGGUGGGGUAAAGGCCCACCAAGGCGACGAUCUAUAGCUGGUCUGAGAGGAUGGCCAGCCACAUUGGGACUGAGACACGGCCCAGACUCCUACGGGAGGCAGCAGUCGGGAAUAUUGGACAAUGGGCGCAAGCCUNAUCCAGCAAUACCGCGUGUGUGAAGAAGGCCUGCGGGUUGUAAAGCACUUUCAGUGGGGAAGAUAAUGACGNUACCCACAGAAGAAGC
rnacentral:rRNA from 1 species